rnacentral:rRNA from 1 species
AAAGCGUGCGCAGGCGGUUAUAUAAGACAGAUGUGAAAUCCCCGGGCUCAACCUGGGAACUGCAUUUGUGACUGUAUAGCUAGAGUACGGCAGAGGGGGAUGGAAUUCCGCGUGUAGCAGUGAAAUGCGUAGAUAUGCGGAGGAACACCGAUGGCGAAGGCAAUCCCCUGGGCCUGUACUGACGCUCAUGCACGAAAGCGUGGGGAGCAAACAGGAUUAGAUACCCCUGU